CUGGCCCCCACUCUCAAGAUCGCCGAGAACCAUUUCUUUCUACUGAGAUGUUCCAGUUAUUAAGUUCAGAAGGGAAGAGACGGAGGGCUGGAUACAUCGUUACAGGAUUUGAAAUCCCGAAGCCCUUCCUUGUAGCCUCCACCCUCGUUCUACAGGAACAGGAAACUUUGAACUGCUGUGAUUGUCUCAAGCAUUCGUAGGAUGCGGGGAGAGGACUUUGAAAGACGUGACUGCCUGUUGAACCAUGAGCUGGACGCCAGUGCUCCAAAGCUCCCGGCCCCCUCCCCUGUCCUUGGAAUGUGGGUUCCACUUGCCUCUCCUGCUCCCAGGGGCCGCUCCAAGGACAUAGCCUGGAGCUAGGGGUGUGGUGUUGAAAACACCUGCACAAUGUGACCGAACCCAGUUAAGGCCUCCUUAUAAACUUUAAACAUGUGGCAGAUGGGUUCAGGGACCCAUUCGUGCCCCACACACGUUCCCUUUGCUUAUUAAAACUGCCACCUACCCACCUGGAGUGACCUGCCUCUUGCAGUCUCUCCUUGCCCUCUACUUAAGAGGGCGGGUUCAGAUUACAUCCGGCAAGCUCCUUAGGAGGUUAGGAGACAGAGUCUCAGGUUACAGAUGUGAUCAGUGCGCAGGAGAGUCUCCCAAGCUGGGCUGAGAUGACAAGGCUUUCUUGUGACAGUUGAUACGUUGCUGAAUUUCUCCUUCUGCUGGUCCCUUCCACUUUUGCCUUCAGAGCACACUGAACAAUCCAGUCAUGCCACACCCUCUCGAAUACAUACUGAGUACCUGCUACGCUCUGCAUGGCUAUAGCCAUGGACAAGACAGACAGAAUCCUGCUCUCCGGGAGAUCAUUUAGCCAUGGUGGGAGGUGGGGAAUUCAGGAUGGUAGGGGUAAAAUUUCCUGAUAAUAGCAGAGGCAAAAGGAUCACUUGUUGGGGGAAAAAAAAAACCAUGUAACAGAUUACCUCUGUGAAUAAAGUUGUCCCGAAUAUAGUAAUAAAUACACCAUUAAGUACGGGGUUUAGAA